rnacentral:rRNA from 1 species
ACUCCUACGGGAGGCAGCAGUAGGGAAUUUUCCGCAAUGGACGAAAGUCUGACGGAGCAAUGCCGCGUGAGUGAUGAAGGUUUUCGAAUCGUAAAGCUCUGUUGUAAGGGAAGAAUAGCAAGGAUAGGAAAUGCUCCUUGUCUGACGGUACCUUACCAGAAAGCCACGGCUAACUACGUGCCAGCAGCCGCGGUAAUACGUAGGUGGCAAGCGUUAUCCGGAAUUAUUGGGCGUAAAGCGCAUGUAGGCGGCUUUUUAAGUCUGAUGUGAAAGCCAGUGGCUCAACCACUGAAUUGCAUUGGAUACUGGAAAGCUAGAAUCUUGGAGAGGUAAGUGGAAUUUCAUGUGUAGCGGUGGAAUGCGUAGAUAUAUGAAGGAACACCAAUGGCGAAGGCAGCUUACUGGACAAGUAUUGACGCUGAGAUGCGAAAGUGUGGGUAGCAAACAGGAUUAGAUACCCUGGUAGGAUAGCGU